rnacentral:rRNA from 1 species
GUUAAGUCCCGCAACGAGCGCAACCCUUGUCAUUAGUUGCCAUCAUUGGUUGGGCACUCUAAUGAGACUGCCGGUGACAAACCGGAGGAAGGUGGGGAUGACGUCAAGUCCUCAUGGCCCUUAUGGGUAGGGCUACACACGUCAUACAAUGGAUGGUACAAAGGGUCGCCAACCCGCGAGGGGGAGCCAAUCCCAUAAAGCCAUUCGUAGUCCGGAUCGCAGUCUGCAACUCGACUGCGUGAAGUCGGAAUCGCUAGUAAUCGUGGAUCAGAAUGUCACGGUGAAUACGUUCCCGGGCCUU